UCCAGGUGCUGCAAUUUGGCCACAACAACCCAGCAUAAUAUUUUGUAAAUAAUUACAAAUAUAUAUUGUAAAAUAACUGUAAAAAGACAACUUGGACACCAACUCUAGUUUCGUGUUAGCACCCUACUAAAAAUAAAAUUAUAAAAAAAAGGCUGACAUAAAGAAUUCACUGAUAAUGAUAAAUUUCAAUUAACUUUCUGGAUUUGAGAAAGAGGUUAUUCAGAAAUGGAAGUAUAAGGUGUCUCCUUAUAACCAUUUGGAACGUCUUGAUUCAAUUUCUAUCCUCCUGAUGUCUCAUCUCCCUGCCACAGACCAGUGAAAAAAGCCUGGCUAUGUCACCCCAGCAUAUCCUGUAGGUACUGACAAACUCCUGUUAGACAUGCCUGACAAACUUGGCUUUUUCUUCAGGCCAGCUCCCUCAGCUUCUCUUCAUCAGUCACUUGUUCCAGGCCCUAGAGGAUGCUGGUGGACUCAACUCCCUCCAGUUUAUCAGUACCUCUCAUACAAUACAAGAGUAUUGGGGGCCUAGAGCUGGAUGUAGCUUCUGUCUAAUAAUAGCUGAGAAAAAGGGGACAACUGCCUGCUAACAUGGGCCAGGAUGCUGCUGACCUCCUUUCUGCAGGGGCACACAGCUUGCUCAGGAUCAGUGUGCCAUCCACCAGCACACAGCCCCUUCUCCACAGAGCUGCUCCCCUGCCAGCCAGUCCCCAGCUGAGCUGCUGCUAGUUGUGGCCUCCAGGGGCAGGAUGUUAGGCCAUAUGAUUAAAGGCUCAUCCUCUGCCCCAGGGAGAUGUAAAGAAGCCCAAUAAUACAAGGAGCAUGCACGGAGCACUCCAACCAGGCUACUCUCCUGGUUACCAAAGAGGACAGUCAGCCCAUAACCUGUGUAUCAGAACACACACAGGAGGGGGUCAACACUGCUCAAACUGCCUUACCCACUGAGGGACACCGAUGUAUUCAGGGCUCAUUAAGGAAUGAUGUAGAAGAGCAUUUGGGAGCUGUACAAGAUCUAUGUUAUAUUUAAGGGGAAGACCAAAAGCUGGGAAAAGAAGGGAGCAAAGUAGACUGAGAAGGAACAAGCACAGGGGAAUAAACGGGUCAGACACUUGUAAAUGGGUUGCCUGGAGCCUAAUCACUGCAGUCUGUCCUGUCUGUGCAGCUCUGAGCACCAGCACUUGCAGCUCAUGUCCUGGUGUCACUAACAGGGGAGGUACCAGACAGACUGUAUGUCUGAGACCUGCAGGGUCCUAUACUAUGUACAUGCAUCUGAAAAAGUAACAGGCUAUCAGCUAACAAGCUUUCACUCUGAUCAGCCACAAAGGGAAACAGCAUGAGGUGGCUGACACUGUUAUGUCUGUAAGUUCUGUUUUCUGCCUGCACUGACCUGUAUGUCAGCAGUGUAAUUGUACAUACAAGUGCCUUUGGGAAAACACAUACAGACCUACAGCUGCAGCAGCCUUCCUUCUAGCAGGCUGUUUCCUUGCUUUCUGUUACCUCACACAGUUCCCUGUUAGUCAGCUGCUCAGUACAGCCCCACCACACCGGGUGUCACAAAAACUCCCACUGCUCCACAUCUGAUGCAGCACCUGGGAAAGGUCCUGGCCAGCACUGGGAGCACAGGGGAGGCAAUUCAGCUCUGUGACCGUGAGAGAUGGGCUCCACCCCUCUCGGACCUCAUUUAAGGGCUGCCUGCCACCCUUUAAAUGGGAGCCACGCCCGGAAGAAGCCCUUGAUCGCCGACGUCAGCUGCUUCGGAGCCGUCCCGGUCGGCUGCGUGGUUGGGGGGGGGGUUUGGAAGGUUCUUUCACCCAGGGAACCCCGAGCAAACGGAGCAGCCCGGCAGCUCUCGAGAGAGUGUACAGGUCUCUGGCUGCACUGAGUGCAUGAGCCUGGCGCUUCCUGGGCUGGGUGAAGGAGGCAGCGACUGUGUAUGAUGUGACCAGGUAAACUACUUACUCAGCCUUGUAGCUGACCUAAAGGAAGAGGUGGAGAGGCUGCAGAGCAUAAAGGACUCUGAGAGGGAGAUUGAUUGCUGCUAUCAAACCCUAUCAGCCCCUAGUUCCUGGCGGCUGUGUGAGGAAGAAACUUCCUUCCCUAGUUUGGUGCACUGAUUACUAUCCCCUGUUACUAUUCCAGGUUGGUAGUGAUGAUCUUGGAAGAACUUCCAUAAGGACUCCAAAAAAGGAUUUCAGAGCCUUGGGGCAACAGGUGCAGGAGCUGACCAUCCCAAAAUCAUGAAAGACGAGCUGAUGGGCAAGGAGGCCGGGCUGGCUGACCAGAGAUCUUUGGCUUGAUCUCAAGAACAAAAAGAAAGUUUAUGGUCUCUGGAAGAGAGGACGUGCUACUUAUGAGGAUUACAGCAGUCUUGGCUGACUGGGGAUGUCCUGGUGCAUUGGAGGCUGGUGAAUGUGAUGCCCAUCUUCAAAAAGGGUCGGAAAGAUGAUCCUGGCAGCUACAGGCCCAUCAGUCUCACCUUGGUGCCUGGGAAAAUGUUAUGGACUGGAUAAUCUCAGGAACCAUCAUGGAUCAACUAAAGACCACCAGGUCAGCAAUUCCCCACCUGGCUCUGGUGCAUCAGGCAAGUCCCAACAAAGCCCCUGUGCUCAGAAACAGCAGGGGUGGACAGAGAUCCUAUCUUCAAGAGCACAUGAGAGAAGACUGCCAGCAAGGCCUUGUUCUGGUUUCUUCAAAGAACAUAUAAAAACCUACACCUAUGCAGAACAUGGGGAUCUGGUAAGCAAAUAUCAGCUGUAAGAAGUUAUCACUCACUCAGAAGAAGCAGUAAGAAGCACAAACUAACCCAAAUGGAACAUUAACGUAAAAGAGCUGCUGCUUCUGAAACUGGAGAGGAAAGCAUUCUGGCCAAUCCCAGCUGCACACAGAAGCAAUGAUCAAGGUGCACAGCUGAGUGACCAACAAGCAGCUCUAUGCUCACUUCUGAUAUUCACCAUUAACAGAAGACAAUAACCUACUGAGAAGAAGCUUUCAGUUCUCCAAGUUGUGUUUGUUCCACUUACUUUACACAACCUCCCCUUUGAACAUCAAACUGUAAAUGGAGGUUUACUGCUCAACCAGAAAAGCUGUGCACAGAACAGGUUAUAUACCUCAGGAUCUUGAUAAUAACAUUUAAAUAAAUCCUUUCGACUCUCUCA